AUUUGAUGAUGUAGGCAUUUGGCAGGGAGGCCUAUGAAUCUUACCCAAUAUUCAUACAAGCUCUCUCCAACCCCUUAUUGAACACCGUAGAUCUCUUUCCUCAUUCU